AGUGAACGCUGGCGGUAGGCCUAACACAUGCAAGUCGAACGGCAGCACAGUAAGAGCUUGCUCUUACGGGUGGCGAGUGGCGGACGGGUGAGGAAUACAUCGGAAUCUACCUUUUCGUGGGGGAUAACGGAGGGAAACUUACGCUAAUACCGCAUACGACCUACGGGUGAAAGCAGGGGAUCUUCGGACCUUGCGCGAUUGAAUGAGCCGAUGUCGGAUUAGCUAGUUGGCGGGGUAAAGGCCCACCAAGGCGACGAUCCGUAGCUGGUCUGAGAGGAUGAUCAGCCACACUGGAACUGAGACACGGUCCAGACUCCUACGGGAGGCAGCAGUGGGGAAUAUUGGACAAUGGGCGCAAGCCUGAUCCAGCCAUACCGCGUGGGUGAAGAAGGCCUUCGGGUUGUAAAGCCCUUUUGUUGGGAAAGAAAAGCAGCAGGUUAAUACCCCGCUGUUCUGACGGUACCCAAAGAAUAAGCACCGGCUAACUUCGUG
rnacentral:rRNA from 1 species